CACGCGACUCGCUGAGGGGGCUUUUAAUUUGCAACGAGGCACAAAAGGAGAAUGGCCGGAGGAAGAGACAAGUUUUGGUAAAACCAAGGACAGCUGGCAACCGGUGGCUUCCCUGACCAUCCCAAAUGUCUGCAGUGCCUUAAGCAGGCCCUUGGGUAUUCCUAGCCAAUAUAUCCUGAAAGGCCUCCUCCAGAUGGCCGGUGCUUUCUCCUCUCGUCCCGUGAUGGAAUGAAAAGAUCAGCUAAUUAAAUGAAGUCCCAUAUCCAUGUGAAAGACCCGCAAGAGUCCUCAGGGAGAAGAGCUGCAUGCAAAUCAAUCCCCGGUGCUUUGAAUUGUGUCCAACAAAACAACACAUCUCUGCAAACCAUAAAGUCUUUAUUUCCACAGCACACAGACACACUAAGAAUCAAAAGUCAUGACAGAAGCAGAUAAACAAACAUAUUUGUAACAAUGGGGGAUUUCUAGUGAUAGAAAAUAGUUCGGUCAAUCACACACAAUCCCAUAGCAGUCUUAUAGAAAGUAAAGAAUUAGAGUGAUGCGGCCCUCCCACUGAGCAAACAAUAAAACAGUUAUCAACAGUCUCAUGCUCCUUUAAUCAAGGAAGAAGCACGAUAUGUUGAUUUAAAAAAUAUACAAUAUAGAAAACAUAAAAAAUACCCAGCCUCUGAACAGUAGUAGCUUUCCGUUGAUCCACAUAAUUACGAAUAUAAAAUUAGCACUUCCUUUCCCCCAUCAGAAACAAAAAUUUGACAGCGUUUUAAGAAGACAUUGCUAAGUGUGGAUUAUGUUUCCUGAUAUGCAGGAUUCCUUACACAAAUGCGGAUAUUUCAGAAUGCAAUUUUAAAUUCACUAACAGAUGUGUAGUAAGCUGGUGCCUCUUUUUUUUUUUAGAACUCAGUAGACUCAGUAGACAGUGAACAUAAAGAUAGGGCCACUAUGGUGAGAUGCUGCAGGGGCUGAUGGGAGCCUUGGGGCCUCACUGCUCAAACGUCUGUGUUCGCCUCAGGUUGUCCUUCACACGGACAAACUCUGGGAUCUUCUCUUGGUUCUCCCGCUGCCUGAUCUCUUCCUGCUCAUACUGGAAAAAUAAAUAAAGGACUAGUCAGUGUUUGCAUUGGGGAAUCUAAAGAGUUGUGAGGUGAUUAAUGGGGCAGACAGAAAUAAAAACAAAGUUCUGCAACACA